GGACCCUAGCAUGAGGGCCCGGGACAGGGCCAAAGUGGUGGAGCACUGGAUCAAGGUGGCCAAGGAGUGCAGAGCCCUACGGAGCUUUUCCGCCCUGCACGCCAUCCUGUCCGCUCUGCAGAGCGUGUCCGUCCACCGUCUGAAGAAGACGUGGGGGAAAGUUUCCAGGAGGAGCUCGGCCACACUGAACACGCUGUGUAAGGAAGACAACUCCAGGGC